GAAUAUUGGACAAUGGGCGCAAGCCUGAUCCAGCCAUGCCGCGUGAGUGACGAAGGUCUUCGGAUUGUAAAACUCUUUUGGCGGGGACGAUAACGACGGUACCCGCAGAAUAAGCCCCGGCUAACUUCGUGCCAGCAGCCGCGGUAAUACGAAGGGGGCUAGCGUUGUUCGGAAUCACUGGGCGUAAAGCGCACGUAGGCGGAUGUGCCAGUCAGGGGUGAAAUCCCGGAGCUCAACUCCGGAACUGCCUCUGAUACAGCACGUCUUGAGUUCGAGAGAGGUGGGUGGAAUUCCUAGUGUAGAGGUGAAAUUCGUAGAUAUUAGGAAGAACACCGGUGGCGAAGGCGGCCCACUGGCUCGAUACUGACGCUGAGGUGCGAAAGCGUGGGGAGCAAACAGG
rnacentral:rRNA from 1 species